rnacentral:lncRNA from 1 species
AACAACAACAACAACAACAACAACAACAACAACAACAACAACAACAACAACAACUACAGCAACAGCAAUAGCAACAUCAACAACAACAACAACAACAACAACAACAACAACAACAACAGCAACAGCAACAACAACAGCAACAUCAACAUCAACAUCAACAACAACAACAACAACAACAACAACAACAACAAAAACAACAACAACAACAUCAACAACAACAACAACAUCCAUAGCAACUACAAUAGCAGCAGCAGCAGCAACAGCAACAUCAACGACAAC